UACGGGGGGGGCAAGCGUUGUUCGGAAUUACUGGGCGUAAAGGGCUCGUAGGUGGCCAACUAAGUCAGACGUGAAAUCCCUCGGCUUAACCGGGGAACUGCGUCUGAUACUGGAUGGCUUGAGUUUGGGAGAGGGACGCGGAAUUCCAGGUGUAGCGGUGAAAUGCGUAGAUAUCUGGAGGAACACCGGUGGCGAAGGCGGGUCUCUGGGCCGAAAUUGACGCUGAGGAGCGAAAGCGUGGGGAGCAAACAGG
rnacentral:rRNA from 1 species